GGCGGAGCUUGCAGUGAGCCGAGAUCGCGCCACUGCACUCCAGCCUGGGUGACAGGGUGAGACUCUGUCUCAAGAAAAAAAAAAAAGAAAAAAGUAAAAGAGUUCAGCUCCUAAACUAGGAGUAUAUGUAUAAAAAAGGAAAGAUCAGUGGCUGCCAAGGAAUGAGGGGAAAGAGGAAUGAACAGGCAGAGCACAGACGAUUUUCAGGGCAAUGAAAUUACACUGUAUGAUAGCAUCAUGGUGAAUAGAUAUCGUUAUGCAUUUGCCAAAACCCAUAGAAUGCUUGACACUAAGAGGGAACCUUAACAUUAACUAUGAAGUUUGGAUGGAAAUGAUCUGUCAUUGACGGUAACAAAUGUACCACUGUAGUGUGGGAUGCUGACAGUAGGAAGCUUGGGUGUUUAUGAGGGCAGGAUAUGUAUAAGAACUCUCAGCAUAUUCAGUCCUCACAACAACCCUAUGUGUCCAACAUAUCCAAGAUAUUAUCAUCUCAAAAUGUAACCAAUAUUUUAAAAAUUUAAAUAGUUUUGGCUGGGCACAGUGGCUCACGCCUGUAAUCCCAGCACUUUGGGAGUCUGAGGAGGGCGGAUCAUGAGGUCAGGAGACGGAGACCAUGCUGGCUAAUGGUGAAACCCCAUCUCUACUAAAAAUACAAAAAAUUAGCUGGGCGUGGUGGUGGGCACCUGUAGUCCCAGCUACUCGGGGGGCUGAGGCAGGAGAAUGGCAUGGACCCCGGAGGCGGAGCUGGCAGUGAGCCGAGAUCAAGCCACUGCACUCCCGCCUGGGCGACAGAGCGAGACUCUGUCUCAAAAAAAAAAAAAAAAAUUAAGUACUUUUUCAUGAACAAAAUUCUCAAAAUCUGGUGUGCAUUUUGGACAGCUGUAGUGGCUCACACCUGUAAUCCCAGCACUUUGGGAGGCCGAGGAGGGCGGAUCGCUUGAGGUCAGGAGUUUGAGACCAGCCUGCCCAAUAUGGUGAAACCCCAUCUCUACUAAAAAUACAAAAAUUAGCUGGGCGUGAUAGGGGGCGCCUGUAAUCACAGUUACUCAGGAGGCUG
rnacentral:lncRNA from 1 species